CGGAGUUAUUGGGCGUAAAGAGCGUGUAGGGAGGAGUGAGCGGCUGAGGUGCACGCUAUGGGCAUAACCCGGAGACGUCGUUUGAUACUGUUUUUUUUGUUUCAAGCAGAGGA
rnacentral:rRNA from 1 species